UACAGAGGGGGCAAGCGUUGUUCGGAAUUACUGGGCGUAAAGGGCGCGUAGGCGGCCUUCUAAGUCGAACGUGAAAUCCCCGGGCUCAACCCGGGAACUGCGUCCGAUACUGGAAGGCUUGAAUCCGGGAGAGGGAUGCGGAAUUCCAGGUGUAGCGGUGAAAUGCGUAGAUAUCCGGAGGAACACCGGUGGCGAAGGCGGCAUCCUGGACCGGUAUUGACGCUGAGGCGCGAAAGCCAGGGGAGCAAACGGG
rnacentral:rRNA from 1 species